AAAAAGAUAAGCUAAAUUAAGCUCUUAGGUUCAUACCCUGAUUAUAAAGAUUAAUCUUUUCUUUUUA
rnacentral:tRNA from 1 species